GACGAACGCUGGCGGCGUGCUUAACACAUGCAAGUCGAACGAAGUGGCGAACGGGUGAGUAAUACGUGGGUAACUGCCCUCCUUUUUGGGAUAAGCCUUGGAAACGGGGUCUAAUACCGAAUAAAGGGGGAUGGGCUCGCGGCCUAUCAGCUUGUUGGUGGGGUGAUGGCCUACCAAGGCGGUGACGGUGAGCCGGCCUGAGAGGGGACCGGCCACAUUGGACUGAGACACGGUCCAAACGCGUACGGGAUGCAGCAGUGAGGAAUAUUUGUCAAUGGACGCAAGUCUGAACCAGCCAAGUAGCGUGCAGGAUGACGGCCGAUGGGUUGUAAACUGCUUUUAUAUGGUAAGCAGUACCAUAUGAAUAAGGACCGGCUAAUUCCGUGCCAGCAGCCGCGGUAAUAC
rnacentral:rRNA from 1 species